rnacentral:rRNA from 1 species
UACGAAGGGGGCAAGCGUUAUCCGGAAUUACUGGGUGUAAAGGUCGCGUAGGCGGUUAUUUAAGUUAGAUGUGAAAUCCCAAGGCUCAACUUUGGAACUGCAUCUAAAACUGGGUAACUAGAGUGUGGGAGAGGAAAGCGGAAUUCUCAGUGUAGCGGUGAAAUGCGUAGAUAUUGAGAGGAACACCGGUGGCGAAGGCGGCUUUCUGGACCAUAACUGACGCUGAGGCGCGAAAGCGUGGGGAGCAAACAGG